ensembl:lncRNA
CAUGACGGUGUGGUGUGUAGGUUCCUAUCGUUAUUGCUUCCGUUGUUGGCCUGGGGCGCCGCGGAUGACCCUACAUAGCCCUUGGCCGGCCACCGGGAAGAUUGCGUCUCGUACUGACGAUCGUAACAAAGACGCACCGUGCUUUCCUUCUGAGGGUUUAGUAGCCCUAAUACGUGCAGCAGACUAGUCAUGUGGAAGUUUGUCUGCUGAAAGUAAGCGCCCUCCCGGGAGGAUGUGUUGAACUUUUGGGAAGGUUGGUGACUAAACUCUGCUUGUGCUAACUGCCCAGCAAUGACUCAGUUGAGGUAAGAGGUGGGCUGGACCCACUGGAGCGUGCUCAGAUGGGAUGUACGUGGCUGCCUUGAAGAUGCUGUCCUAGAACAGCACCACAGGCCUGGCUCGGCUUUGCCUGUGACAUUGGGGCAAAGAGCAAGUGGCUAUUUCUACGCUCAGUGUUCAGAAGCCAGUGAGCACUAAGAAUGGUUUGUAGCCUGACAUUUUGCAGAGCCACAGUGGAAUGGCACUGGGGUUUGGCUUUGCUGUUGGCCAGAUGCCAAGCCUCUAGGGCUCACCAAAGGGUCACAUGGUCAGCAUUUUAGCAAGACAGAACUUUGGAGGUGUGUGUGAGUUUUCUAGGAGACCUUCUGAGAAGCUGGGAAAAUACAAGAAAUUAUCCGUCCUUUCUUCAUCUUCCAGAUCCAGAAGCCAGGAAGAAGGAAGGGGGCCUACUUAUUGGCCAAGAUGGCUGAUCGGGAUGAGUGCAGAUAUGAUUUUAGGCCGUGGGCCUGAGGUAUGUCCUCUGACCUCACCAGUGUCCUACAGAACUCCCCAUAUGGCUUUGGGCAGCUCUGAACUUAACUCUGGUAGCCAGCCUAUGUCUUAAGUUGUGGACUGGAUUUGGGUUGGCCUGGGUUUGACUGGUCUGUGUGUGGUAGUGGCACUGGAGAUGGGGAACCUCUAAAACUCAACAUCUCUACCUGACUGUACACGGUCUUAAAAGAUAUAAUUAUGAGUUGGGGGGGUUGGGGAUUUAGCUCAGUGGUAGAGCGCUUGCCUGGCAAGGCCCUGGGUUCAGUCCCCAGCUCCGAAAAAAAAGAAAAAAUGAGUUGGGGGGGGUGAUAGUGGUCCCUCCCUAUAGUUGAAGGCCAGCCUGGUCUACAAAGCAAGUUCCAGGAUGGCCAGAACUAUUAAACAAAUAAACCCUGUCUUGAAAAACUAAGAAGGAGAAAGAGUGAUCUAGGAGGGGAACUGGCUGUAGUAGAUGCUGUGACAUAAAUAAACUUGUCAAUUUUUACGGCUGGAAUCUUCCUUUGCUAUUAAGUUUCUUCUCGUCUAUCUCCCCUGGAAAAUAAAGCAUGCCAGAGUGAAUGGUAAGAUUUGAGGUUUAGUUUGGGCUGGAACUGGCUUUUAACAGGAGCUAAGCUUUCUGCAUACUGUGGGCAAACAUUUCCCCUAAGCCAGGAGACUGGUGGGAGGGGGGUGAGGCACAAGGACAGCACUACAGAAAUGCUGCUCAGCUAAAGUGUCUGGAGCCCAGACUGGGGCUGCUGUUGUGUGCCAUAGCAGAUAUUGCUCCUUGGUAGAGCAUGAUGCCUGUGGCAGAAAUGCAUAGGUCCACAGGUUGGGUCCUUGGGAUAGUG